rnacentral:rRNA from 1 species
UACGUAGGGUGCAAGCGUUGUCCGGAAUUAUUGGGCGUAAAGAGCUCGCAGGCGGUCGAUCAAGUCGAGUGUGAAAGCCCCCGGCUCAACUGGGGAGGGUCAUUCGAUACUGAUCGACUCGAAGGCAGGAGAGGGUAGUGGAAUUCCCGGUGUAGUGGUGAAAUGCGUAGAUAUCAGGAGGAACACCGGUGGCGAAGGCGGGUCUCUGGGCCGAUACUGACGCUGAGGAGCGAAAGCGUGGGGAGCGAACAGG